UUAAGUUAAUAAGGGCGUACAGUGAAUGCCUUGGCACUAGAAGACGAAGAAGGACGCGACUACCUGCGAUAAGCGGCGGCGAGCUGGACGUAAGCUAUGAACCGUCGAUGUCCGAAUGGGGAAACCCGGUGUGGGUAAUGCCACAUCAUCCAUCACCCAAAACCAUUAAGUGAUGAGAAGAGAUACCUAGGGAAGUGAAACAUCUCAGUACCUAGAGGAAAAGAAAGAUUAAUAUCGAUUCCGGGAGUAGCGGCGAGCGAAAGCGGAACAGCCUAAACCAACCUUAGGGUUGGGGUUCGGAGCGCAACAUGUGAUUGUUACAUGAUAGGUGAAUGAUUUGGGAAAGUCAGCCAUAGACGGUGAGAGCCCGGUAACUAUACUUGUGUAACACGCUAGCGAUUUCCAGAGUACGGCGGGGCACGUGAAACCCUGUUGGAAUAUGUGAGGACCACCUCAUAAGGCUAAAUACUAACUAGUGACCGAUAGUGAACCAGUACCGUGAGGGAAAGGUGAAAAGAACCCCGGGAGGGGAGUGAAAAGAAUCUGAAACUGUAUGCUUACAAAAAGUCAGAGGCCGUUAAAGGCUGAUGGCGUGCCUAUUGAAGAAUGAACCGGCGAGUUACUUUUGUCGUGCAAGGUUAAGUCGAAGAGACGGAGCCGUAGUGAAAGCGAGCCUGAAUAGGGCGAUUAAGUACGAUGAAGUAGACCCGAAGCCCGACGAUCUAUCCAUGAGCAGGUUGAAGGUAAGGUAACACUUACUGGAGGACCGAACCGACGUUCGUUGCAACGCCCGCGGAUGAGCUGUGGAUAGUGGAGAAAUUCCAAUCGAGUCGGGGGAUAGCUGGUUCUCCUCGAAAUAGCUUUAGGGCUAGCGUCCGGCGUACCCUUUGGGGGUAGAGCACUGAAUGCCUGAUGGCCGCGCACAGCGGUACUGAAUGCAAUCAAACUCCGAAUCCCAGGGGGGUCGAGCCGGGCAGUCAGACUGCGGGGGAUAAGCUCCGUGGUCGAAAGGGAAACAGCCCAGACCGCCGAAUGAGGUCCCCAAAUCCACGCUAAGUGUGAAAGGACGUGGGGGCGCUUAGACAACUAGGAUGUUGGCUCAGAAGCAGCCACCAUUCAAAGAGUGCGUAACAGCUCACUAGUCGAGUGCCCCCGCACCGAAGAUUUACCGGGGCUGAAGCGUGGUGCCGAAUUCGCGGAUUUUGGAUUCGCGUCCAAAGUGGUAGAGGAGCGUUCCGCCAGGGGCGAAGCCGCACCGAGAGGAGCGGUGGACCGGGCGGAAGUGAGUAUGCCGGUGUCAGUAACGAUGAGGGGUGGGAAUCCCCUCCACCAUUUGACUGAGGUUUCCCGGGCGAGGGUCGUCCCCCCGGGGUCAGUCGGGACCUAAGGCGAGGCCGAAGGGCGUAGCCGAUGGACGCCAGGUCGACAUUCCUGGACUGGUGCGCGUGCGAUGUGGUGACGGAUCCGGACAGGGGCUCCCCCUUAUUGGAUUGGGGGCCAAGCGGCUCGGCCGCGCGGCAGGCAAAUCCGCCGCGCAGAGGCGAGGCCGCGAGCGCGAGCGAAACCUUCGGGGAGUAGCGAAGGCUCCGACGCCGGGUCCCGAGAAAAACCGCUAGCGUUAAGCGCGCAUCACCCGUACCGAGAACGGACACACGUGGUCAAGGAGAGUAUCCUGAGGUGAGCGAGUUAACUGUUGUUAAGGAACUCUGCAAAAUUACUUCGUAAGUUCGCAAGAAGAAGUGCCUGUGAAAGCAGGUCGCAGUGAAGAGGCCCAAGUAACUGUUUAUCAAAAACACAGCUCUAUGCUAAGCCGCAAGGCGACGUAUAUGGGGUGAUGCCUGCCCAGUGCUGGAAGAUUAAGGGGAGGAGUCAGGCGCAAGCCGAAGCCCCGAGCCGAAGUCCCAGUGAACGGCGGCCGUAACUAUAACGGUCCUAAGGUAGCGAAAUUCCUUGUCAGGCAAGUUCUGACGCGCAUGAAUGGUAUAAUAAUUUGGGCGCUGUCUCGACAGCAGACUCGGUGAAAUCUUAUUACCUGUGAAGAUGCAGGUUACCCGCGACUAGACGGAAAGACCCCAUGGAGCUUUACUACAGCUUACCAUUGGGCAGGCGAUGCGCAUGCGCAGAAUAGGUGGGACGCUUUGAUCCCGGGGCCUUGGCCUCGGGGGAGCGGGCGGUGAGAUACCACUCUUGCGCGUUGCCUGUCCUAACGCGCGCCUUCACCGGGCGGCGGACAGUGGUUGGCGGGUAGUUUGACUGGGGCGGUCGCCUCCCAAAAGGUAACGGAGGCGCUCCAAGGUAUCCUCAGCACGGUUGGAAAUCGUGCCUCGAGUGCAAUGGCAUAAGGGUGCUUAACUGCGAGACCAACAAGUCGAGCAGAGACGAAAG
rnacentral:rRNA from 1 species